UUGGUGUUUUGUGAGUUAUAUAUGUGUGUCUUUUGCCAUUAAACAGUCAUUUGGCUGCAGAGAAAAGGGUUUUGGGGUUAUGAUUUCUUCUAAGCUGUUUUUAAAUAAAAGUGGAAAACUCCAAAGAAUUAUGGUUCACAUAUAGCCCAUUAUAAACCUUUGGUCAUUUAACAGUUUAAUAUUUUUAUAUAGUCGGUUGUCCGUAAAUUAUUAAGAUUCAGGUGAAAUAAAUGAAAACACCACUUCCAUACAUUUAGUUACACCACCUCUACUUGGACACAUUAAAAAAAAAGCCAUCUUCCCAAUAGUCCUCCAUUUAUGACUUAUAAGUAUUUUAAUUUGUUUUAAAAGUAAAUUCUAAGUUUUGUUCUAUUAGACUGUAAUGUCUUAAAACAUUUGGAAACAUCAGUAUUAUUCACUCAGGCCUGGCAAAAGACCCAAGUUGAAAGUAAUGAUAAUUUCUGUCACCAUUAAAACAUAUGAUAAUUUGGGGAGAAAGGUAGAUAAAAAUUUGUCUCUAUCCGUUGAAUAACUUUUUAAACCAUGGAUUUUAUGAGUAUUAGAAACACAGACAAACUAUAUUUCUGAUAUUUUCCUUAUGAAGUCCCCUUUAGCAGUCCUCUAACAACUGCCUACAUAAACAUACACACUUAUCUACACUGCUUUCAAAAUGAAUGCCCUAAAGAGAAAUGAAAGCAGAAAUAUAUUAAUCUGAUUUGUUUGAAGAGGCUUCGGAUGAUAAAGCAUUUCACAGGUGUUUCUAAUCAAAAUAUUUCUAUUUUAAAAAGUUAGGGUUUCUUUGAACAUAGGCAAGAUUGGGGUUUUGACCUUUAGGAGAGAGCCAAUUCUGGAGAACAACCUAACUUCUUUGAUUGAACAUUCACAUAAUGCAAUGGAACAUGAUAGGAGAUUAAGGUAUACUAAUGAAUUUUUAAAGCAUACGAUUUUAUAUCUUUGCAAUAUAAUUGAACUAGACAUUUGGUAAAGUUAGAACUUUUAGGUGAGCUAAAUUCAAUAAAGAUUUAUUGAUUAACAGAAGUUAUUCAGUGAAGUGGCCAAGGUUGAGCUUUUCUUGCUUUAUUAAAGCUUCAGAUUUUUUUAUGCAGUUGAUGUUCUUAUCCUGUAUGGGUCCAGCUCCAAAUGAGUUUAUUUAUUCUAAGAAUAAAUAUAUGUUAUGAGUUUUUUCUUAAGUUUGUUACUACAGUGUUAUAUGUUAAAUAAUUAAGUAGUAGAUUUUUCAUGUUAUAAAAUAGAUGGUUUAAAUCAAGUGAAAUUUGGUGCUUCAUUCUUUGAUAGAUAUAGUGGUAGAUAGAGCCUACGAAAUUUGAUAAGAUUAGUGAGAAUAUUUUAAGAGAACUUGAAAUAUUCCAAGUACUAUCCUAACCAAAACAGCAAUUUGGUUGAAACUGAAAAACGCACUUUCUAAAGCAGAAACCAGUAUCUUACUCAUAGGUACUCUGAGUAAAAUAUUUAAAUUGUUCAUAUCAAAAGUUGUAAACUCUUUAAAAAUAAACUGUAGAAUUCCAAAACUUCUAAUGAUUUGUCUUUACCUCCAGAAUACUUCAUCACAGAAUCACUUUUCCAGCAUAUUUACUUUAAAAUAAAGUUUAUUUUAUAAUUUUAGUUGAAAAUUUCAGAUACUUAGCUAAUAAAAAUUUCAGCUGCUUUCUAAAUUGUAAUCUGGUGUAAUGAAAACUCAUUUAACAGUAUUACUAAGUAUUACUUGAUUAAUUUUUGAAUAGUAAAGUAUUAAUUACAUGAUAAAGUAUUAACUAAAUGUGUUUUUUAAAACUAUUUGCUAAAUAAAGUGAAUUUGACUAAAAUAUACUAUAAUUUUUUCUUUACAUUUUUUUACUAGCAUUUAUUUUAUAUACUUAAGAUAUAGGAAAUCACAAAGGUUUGUUUUCAUAAGAAAAGUGUAAUUUAGUCUUAAGAGUCAAGUGUAUUUAUCACUUUGGUCAUAGAAUUGCUUUUAUCUUUAAAUAGUGUUAAAGGAUUUUUUUUCCAGCAAAUUCUUAGAUGUGUGUUUAAGAAUGUUUGAACAUUGAGAUAUAUAUCAAAAUACUUAAAAAUCAGAUAUUUCUGUUAUUAGCUAUUAGAUAAUCUAGGAAUGUAAAUCUGUUAACAGUUAAGUAAAAUGUUAAAAUUUAAUAGAAAUCAGUUUUAUAUAAGUGAAGUUCAGAUAUUAGUGUCAUGAUACUGUAAGGCAGUUGUUUGAUACAAGCUAUAAAAAGUUUUCAUAACUUUGAUUUAAGAAUGUUACAGAAAGCAGCUUAGUUUGAAUAGGAUGAGAACAGAUACAAUUUUUUCUCUGUAAGUGAUAUUUUUCAGGUUAAAGAACAUUAAGGUGAAAAGUAAAAAAUAUGGUUUCUCAGUAUCUGGAAAAAAAAAAUCUAGGUUCAUUUUGUCACUUUCAGUCCAGAUAUCUUUAGACACAGCCUUAAUGAGUCAAAGGAGGGAAGAGAUACAGCUUUUGAAUUUAUGUUAUAGAAAAAGACUUAAGUCCACAGAGUUGUUCCUCAUUAAGAGAGUUUAUGAUUUGUGAUCUCUGAAGUUGUCAAAAUGUUGUUUGGACACAAAUAUUUAGCAUCAUAAAAUUGUCCCUUAUAUAGCUUAUAAACUUCCAAAUUUUUAGUGAAUAAUUUAACACCUAAAAUAAUUGAUGCCGAUAUUAACAGUUUUCUUCUAUUGGUCAGCUCUUACAGAGUGAAAAACUUUAACCUAAUUAGUAGUGUAUGUUAUUUUAGAAGACAGGUUAAUAAGGGCUUUUACUGCUAUUAUGUGAUUGACUGUUCCUUAACUUACCCCAUAAAGGACAUUUUGUAAGGAUUUUGGCUGUUUUAAAUUUACAAACCUGUUUAUCUGUGUCUAACUAAGUUUUAAUAUGUAGUUCAUUAUGACAGGAUUUGGGGGAAAGCACUUACUGUGUUAUAUUUUUUUCAGUGCUAGAUUUUUAUCUUAUUUGUAUAAUAUUUAUAUUUUUGGUUAAAUGCAUUUUCAGGGUUAAAUAGCAUUCAUUUUCAGGAAAAUUCUCUGUUGUUUCCCAAAUACAGUUAUGCUGUCUGUGUUCUAGUUUUACUGAAAUAGUUAUCCUUAGGGGGAAAGAAUAUUUGGAUAAACUAGAAUAGAGGUAAUUUAACACAUCUACGUAUGAAGGGACUUGAAAUUAUUCAUUGUCACUGAUGAAUAAUGCUAGUUUAUAAAGACAACUUAUAUUUUAAACAGUUUAUCAGCUAUAAGAGUUUUCUUUAUUAGAGGUUUUAUAGUGUUGCUGAGGAUUCAUUGAAGAGUAGAUAGAUACAGUUUCUUAAUGAAGAAGCUUUAAAUGUUUGAAGCAGUUUUGUACAUGUACUUUAUGGGUUUUUUUGAUUAGUGAAUAGAUCAUUAAUCUUUUUCAGUUUCUUCAAAUAAGACCUAACACAUCAGACUUAAAUUUUCUGAUAAGGAUUUUCAAAGGGCAAUAUUUAAUUAAUGUGAAGAUUCAAUUUUUCAUUUAAUGUCAUUUUGAAGUAAAAUAUCAGUUCUCAGCACCACAAACCCCCACUUUUGUUAUUUCAUUAACAUAUAUGAUUUGGCUUAGUUUUACUUUCCUAUUUUCAUGGUUUGAGUCACUUGGAAGAGAAACAUGUAGCAUGUUUCAGAUGUAGUUGCUGAGGCUCAUCCUCUGGUUAAUAGUUUAUUUGUUACUGUUUCUAAGUUUCUUAAUUUUUUUUAAAUCCUUUUUUGAUUUUGCUCUUACUCUUUUAUUGUAUAACUUUCAUAGUAAACAAAUAUAUUUAGUAAUAUUGUUAUCCUGUGUUCUUCAGAAUUGUCUUUUUAAUUUUUAUUAUAACAUUGUUGGUUCAUUAUUGAGCUAUUGCUGAGUAGAAAACGGUUUUUCAAUUUUGAUAAAAAUUAAAGAUUGGGGGUUUUUAGCAAAAUAUCUGAAUUUUAUUUAUUUAAUAUUAUUGUAUUUUAUACUUUUAUUUAAUUUCAAACCUAACCUUCUUGACUAGCUGUUAUUUAAACUUAGCCACCAGUUCUAGCAUUUAAAAAAGUAAUUUACAGAUGUCCUAAUUUUUCUGACUUAUAAAUUAUUUUUCAGAAUCAAAAAUUGCUUAAGGUGUUUAAGAAUAUCUUUUAAAUUUAAAGUUAUAAGUCCAUAGAUGAAAUUACCUUUAAGUUUAAAGAUAAUUUGAUGAACAAAUACUUACAUUUCUGUUAGUGGUCAAUUGAUAUUAGGUACUUACUAAGUUUUUAGCUUUGUGUUACACAUUCAAAGUAGGUAAAUUACUUGUGGAAAUUUUUUUUAAUAAUUGAAAUUUUUGUAAAAGCUUUAUGGGCUAAAAUCGUAUUUAUUUGCUAAUAAUGUCUGAUGUCAAACUUGUGAUGUGAUUAGAUAUGUUGAAGCUGGGAGACUGGAGCUUUUUAUAAGCAUAAUAUAGUUUUGUUGCUUGAUUAAAGUUUAGAUACUUAGAUAUUUUCUAGUAUAGCUAGGGAACAUACUUUUUAUGAAUUCACCCUAAACCUGGUUAAAAUUCUUCUGAGAAUUUUGAUAAUUGAACAGUUAAAUCUAAACUAGGAGCUGAAGUGUGUCAUUACAUGUGUCAUUAAUUAUUUAACUUAGAUACAUUAUAGGUUCCCUUUCUAAUCAAAACACCAAUUUUGUCUUUUCUUCUCUCUCCACCUCACUUUUUAAAGAAAAAAAUCCUUAAAUAAUUUUAUCAUGUAGUGAUACAAGCAGAACUUCUGGGUAGGGAGGUUGAACUCAACCACUUUUUUCCUUUGUGUGUUAGUUGCAUGUGAUUUUCUCAGCUUGCUGCUUCAGUAGCAGCAACAGUGAAUAAACAAGUAUCAUCAGAGCCCUUGUUCUUGCUUCUUACUUUUGGGAACAGGGGUUGGGAGAUUGCUGCUGCUUGUCAGCUGUUGUUCAAAAUAGCAUCAAUAUGCUGUAGUGGUGGCCAAAGCAGCCUGCACCCACUAGCUUUUAUAGACCAGGUGGAAAUGGCCCAACUGUCAGUGUAAUACAUAUAUAGUAUAAUGAAUACGUUCUUUGACAAAAAGGUAUUUUCGUCCCAAAGCAGCUAAAAGAGAACAGUAGAUACUUUUAAUUCUUAGUUUCUUAUUAUUUUUUACUAUUUACUGUGUGGUUUUUAGUUCAUUUAAUUUUUAUAUAGUUAAUUCCAUGUUUGAAUGGAAAACUAUCUUGCUUCCAAAAGUAUAUAUAUGUUUCAUGCUUUUUACUUUUAAGCUGGUAGGCUGAAAUAAAUUAUUCAAUAAUUAGUGCUGAUAACACAAGUUAGAUAAUACAUUGGUAAUGGCAUUAGGGAAAGAAAAGCUGACUGUGGCCACAUAGGCGUGUUUCUUUCACUUUGGGAUCAUAUUCUAAAUUCGUGUUAUCUUUAUUUUAUAGCUCAGUUUAAAAGGCCAAAUUUUUAAUUGAUUUAACUGUAACUAAAAAGAACAAAAAUCUAUUACUACCUGAUGUUGUAUAUAAUUAAAGACAAAGCAGGCUGUAGAUGGAAAUUCAUAAAUCUUUUUCUCACUAUUAAAAUAAUGUCUUCUAUCUGAACUUUAUAUCUGGGAAGUUCAGGUUAUUCUAAAUCUUUUGAAAUAGGACUGUAAUUUACAAUAGCAUGGAGUGUUUUGAUUUUUAAGAAUUUGAAUCUGUAUAGAUUUACAUAACCUAAAUAUCUGUGUAUUUUUCUCCUCUUUUGUAUCUAAAUUCCAAUAGGUUGUAGUUAGGGGGAAGUGAAUAUUGGAUUUCUGUUAAAGUUGUGAUUUCAUUUUUAGAAUUUUUGGUGGAAAACCGCAAAUGACAUUUUUAGUGUGUAAUCCUAAUGCCCCAAUUUAGAGUUCAACAUUUGCAAUAGUAUUCUUUUAAACAGAGGUAACAAUGGGGUGUUUUUUGGUUUGUUUUGGGAUUUUUCCUAAUACUAGAGUAUUAACAUCUUUAAUAUGUUGAUAUAAUUUAACAGAUACCAUUAAUUACUGAUACCUACUCUUAAUCAAAACAGUGAGUUACAUAAUGCUUUAUAUUGAAAACACCUUAUUUUUACUACUAAUUACUGUGUAAAGCACCUGUGGAUCACCUGUACCAGAAUAACCUAGAAUAAAGCAUUUUUCCAGACCUGAUGAAUCAGAAUCUCUGGGGAUGGACUUAAGUAUUUAUGUUUAUAACAAGUGAGUUUUUCCUAGAAACCCCACAUGUGAGAACACUGCCCAAAAUGAAUUGGGAAAGGAUUCUUCACACCAAUAAACCAUCUACAUUUUCUGCCUUUUUUUCCCUCUUUGGUCAUCAUGGGUCUAAUCUCAGUAACUAAUUAUGAAUUUUAUCACUUCUAACAGUAAUUCUAGGAUAAGUCUUGGUAGUUCUUCAGUCAUAUAAGGAAAAUCUAUAUUAUGAGAGCUUUAUUUUAUGCAAAAGUGCCUUGGACCAAAUUUUAAGUCUAUUUGUUUAGAACAGUUAAUAUACUAUUAAACCUAUACUUGAAGCAAACAGAAGGAAUUGAUCACUUAAGAAUUUUUUAAAUUUUCGUUUAGAUGGUAGCUGUUUUUCUUAAGUAUACUUCCAAAUACAUAUUGGAGAAAAUACAGAAAGGAGAGUUUUUCAUAUGCUGCUUAUAGGAGCAUUUGGCAAUAUCCUAAAGUGGAAGAUAUACAUAGGCUCUAACCCAGCAAUCCUAUUCCUAGAUGUUCUAGAUAAACUCAGACAUUCGUGAAAAAGUCUUAUUUAUUUUUACUUCUAAUAGGAAAAAAUUAAAAGUAAUGUAAAUAUUAGGCAGUGAGAGAAUGUAAAAUUGUGACUUAAGUCAUGUGAUAAAAAAGUUAUACAGUUGUAAAGUGAGAU
rnacentral:lncRNA from 1 species